AUGUCUGUGAAGAUGCGGACUACCUGCACCUGGACAGAAAGACCCUAUGAAGCUUUACUGUUCCCUGGGAUUGGCCUUGGGCCUUUCCUACGCAGCUUAGGUGGAAGGCGAAGAAGGCCCCCUUCCGGGGGGGCCCGAGCCAUCAGUGAGAUACCACUCUGGAAGAGCUCGGAUUCUAACCUUGUGUCAGACCCGCGGGCCAAGGGACAGUCUCAGGUAGACAGUUUCUAUGGGGCGUAG
rnacentral:rRNA from 1 species